rnacentral:rRNA from 1 species
AUACGGAGGGUGCAAGCGUUAAUCGGAAUUACUGGGCGUAAAGCGCGCGUAGGCGGCUGAUUAAGUCGGAUGUGAAAUCCCUGGGCUCAACCUAGGAACUGUAUCCGAUACUGGUCAGCUAGAGUUUUGGAGAGGUAAGUGGAAUCUCCGGUGUAGCGGUGAAAUGCAUAGAGAUCGGAAGGAACACCAGUGGCGAAGGCGACUUACUGGCCAAAAACUGACGCUGAGGUGCGAAAGCGUGGGUAGCGAACAGGAUUAGAAACCCUAGUAGUCC